AUUCGGGAAUGGUAUGUUGAGUAUUAAUCAUAUUUGUCUUAGUAAGAGUAUUUUGUGUUCAAUUUGGUUGUUAAGAGUUGAUUGAUUAGAAAUUCAGUUGAGUUAAAUGGUUGAGACCUGUUCAUUAAUCAGGUUAUUUGUAUUUCACUACUCAAAUUAACCUAUGGUUUUGAGGCUAUUUACAAUUCAUUAGCAGAAGAAAUGGGUUUCAGGCCAUUGAACACCAAAGAAUUAUAUCUACCUUGCUUUUAGGU
rnacentral:misc_RNA from 1 species